rnacentral:rRNA from 1 species
CGGAGGGAGCUAGCGUUAUUCGGGAAUUACUGGGCGUAAAGCGCACGUAGGCGGCUUUGUAAGUUAGAGGUGAAAGCCCGGAGCUCAACUCCGGAACUGCCUUUAAGACUGCAUCGCUUGAAUCCAAGGAGAGGUGAGUGGAAUUCCGAGUGUAGAGGUGAAAUUCGUAGAUAUUCGGAAGAACACCAGUGGCGAAGGCGGCUCACUGGACUGGUAUUGACGCUGAGGUGCGAAAAGCGUGGGGAGCAAAACAGGAUU